ACUCAAAUGAAUAGACGGGGGCCCGCACAAGCGGUGGAGCAUGUGGUUCAAUUCGACGCAACGCGAAGAACCUUACCUGGGCUCGAACGGCCGGUCAACGGCGGUGGAAACAUCGUUAUCCCGCAAGGGAGUCCGGUCGAGGUGCUGCAUGGCUGUCGUCAGCUCGUGUCGUGAGAUGUUGGGUUAAGUCCCGCAACGAGCGCAACCCUCGUCCUGUGUUGCCAGGGGAGCAAUCCCGGAACUCGCAGGAGACCGCCAGCGAUAAGUUGGAGGAAGGUGGGGAUGACGUCAAGUCCUCAUGGCCUUUAUGUCCAGGGCUACACACGUGCUACAAUGGCCGGUACAAAGCGCUGCAAACCCGCGAGGGGGAGCCAAUCGCAAAAAACCGGUCUCAGUUCGGAUUGCAGGCUGCAACUCGCCUGCAUGAAGCUGGAAUCGCUAGUAAUGGCAGAUCAGCACGCUGCCGUGAAUACGUUCCCGGGCCUUGUACACACCGCCCGU
rnacentral:rRNA from 1 species